GCGUGUAAUCGCCCAGGAGCAAGAAAAGAAAGGGUGCAACCCUAGUUCAUCAAGAUUCAACAAAUUGAAAGGCAAUUUAGAGCCAAAUCGUAUGGAUUAACACAAAUUCGUGAUCACCAAGCUUAGGAGAUCACAAGUUUGACGCGUAACAAGCUAGAUGAAAGCUUGGAGGAGGGAGCGGGUCAAACGGAGCAAGUACGGAAAGAAAAACGUGGCGUGGAUGCGAGGUAAGUGUAAUUUACACACUUAUGUAGAAUACCCGUUUAUUCGAUACGUUGUAAACGUGAUAACGAUAAUAUUGGAAAUAUGGAAAUUUGUCAAGUGUCGACUAAUGUAAA